AAGUCGUAACAAGGUAACCGUAGGUGAACCUGCGGUUGGAUCAUUACUGUAGAUUUUUGGCACUUCGUUUCGGCGAACGUGCCAACAAUCAAACCCCUUGUAAACUAUAACCGUAUUUUGGCGGCCCUCCAAACCCGUUUGGUGACUUGACUGCAUCGAACGAUGGGCUGUCAGCUUUUGUUUAAACCAUUGUUAUCUGUUAUAAUUUUUGUCUCCAAUGAGUUUCAUAUUUGAAGCUUGUUUUAUUUAAAUAAUAAACAACUUUUGACAACGGAUCUCUUGGCUCUC
rnacentral:misc_RNA from 1 species